CUACAUUAUGGUAAAAGAGUUUUUGUUCCAAAUGUUGCCAUCCUCCCAGUGUCUUUCAUUUCUCCUUGUGAUUCCUGAUUAUGGGAUCACUUUUAGACAUUUACUGAAGUAAAAAUGUAAGGGAGGCACUAUUUUUGUUACACAUUGCUGGAAGUUGCUUCAUUGUUUGGAUGGAAUUUGCCUAAUAUUUCUCAGCAGUAUAAACAUUUGAACAAAUAUUUAUAGUUUCAAAUAACUCAGAAUCAUUUAGCUAAUAGAAGAAGAACUUCUUACCAGAAAAAGUUGAUUCUUUCCCAGAAGCUUGCGGCAAGGAAUGUUACAGAUUCCUGAAACACACGUUGGAGAUGCACGAUCAUCACUUGUGCUGCAGGGGCCUUAUGGAGACUGGAAUUAGUGAAUUAAGUCCUUUUUGUCCAUGCUUACACUCUUUGGAUUGUUUCCUAGUUUCAAGAGGAGUAGUAAAUGCACAUUCCUCUAAUUAUGCACCCAUGUCUUUGAAGCUGUCAUUUUUUCAAAAAAUAUAACCUACAGGCCAAAGACGAGAUAAAUAGAAAAAGCUGUUAUUUUAAUCAAGGAAUUUCUGUUUGACUUGAUAUUUUGAAAGGGAAGGAAAGUGAAAAGAAACAUGUAUGUAUCAAAUAUGUAUCAAGCUUUCUCUUUUAUUGAAAAUCAAACCCCAGUUUUGUCACUUGGGAAAAAGAAUGUGGUGAAAGUUUUUGCUUUUCCUUUAGCUAACAAAGUAUUUAUCUGUAUUGUUUGUGUGUAACCAAACAUGUGCCAGACAAAGGAUCAGACACAAAGUAAGGUACCUAUCACUUCCUGUUUUCUACAUAUUCCCAUAAUUUUUAACAGUGGAGUGUUUUUCAGAACAGAAGUUUUCUGAGUGCCCUUGAUGAAGGGUAAAUAUUUGACUAAGAGGUUGUUUCUCUUAGUGUGGGUGGGAUGUAAGAAAGUUCACAUUUGGGAGUGGAUAAAAAAUCCAAAAGGGCCAGUCAUCAGUAAUUUGGGCAGAGCAUGGAGAUUGGGAGGAGGAAGCUCCAGCUCUUCCCUGAGAAAUCAGUGGGUGGGGAGAUGGUGUUGCUGCCUGAAAACCAUGCCUUUUGAUCAAUGGCCCAGGAAUCAAGACAGCUGGGGCCAAUUCUAUGCCAGCUUGUACCUGAACAUGUCUGGUCAAGGCACACUACCUGCAAACUUCACAGCAGUCAUGGGAAGCUGGCUUGUAAUCUCCCCAUUCCUCGCGUGCUGUUUGUCUCCAGAGGCAAAGUUGAGGUUUCUGUAGUAUGUACAAUCAACAGUCAGAUGAGAGCUCCUGAGUAUUUAGCCUGUUCAAAUAUCCCAUGACAUUUCUUUCCUGAACUGUGUAAAUGAAAAGUCAACAUCCAAUAUUUCUUCACCCUGCCGAAAAGUGCUGAUGUUUGCCAAGCACUCUGCAUCAUCCUAGCUGAGCUCUCCAGGAGAAAUCAGUGUGGCUCGAUGCCCUAAUGUGGCCACAGUGCAGGGCACCCAGAGAGUAUGGCUGCUGUAGGAUGGGAUUGUGCCCAGACUAACUACAAUGUCCUCUCUGCAGCACUACUUGCAAGGUGCUGUUGCACGGUUUCAGUUCUGGAACUGGUUUGGCAGUAGGCUAAAAAACCUAAAUAUUGACUCCACUGAACACAUAAAUACGUCUCAGACCUCUGCGAAGGUCAUUUGUAGACACUGAGUUCAGACUGUGGCCUAGCCUACAUCCUAACUGGAGCCAUGGUGUGUAUUUACACCCCUUUAGUUUUCCUCUUCUUGAGUGAUCAUCUCCUAAUAUUCACAGCGCUCCUCUUUUCCUGUGCUCUGGCCUUACUCCACUGCCUUUGCUCAGGAAGCCCCAUCUUGCCAAGGAGAAGACUCACCACUGUUGUGUCCAAAGUCAUCAGGUCCUUAACCUAGUCCAGUGGACAGGGAAGAUACUUAUCAUUCCCUUCUGGGAGCUCAAGAUACCAGAGUUCUUGUCCUGAUAUAACCCAUCUGUCAGCAGAGGUCACAGUGUACUGGUUAAGUUCAGAAAAUGAGUUUAGGGAAAGAAUUCAAAUAAGCUCUUUUGUAAGCUGCCUCUUCAAUUAGCAGAGAAAAAAAGAUAUUUUUGUAGGAGUGCUGUGGUAUGUUGUUACCUUCUGAACACCUUCUGGAAAAGCCGGUCCCUCGCUGUUGAUUGUGAAGGACUAAAAACUAAAAAUAAAGGUUUUACAGAGAGGCUGCA
rnacentral:lncRNA from 1 species